rnacentral:rRNA from 1 species
GAUGAACGCUGGCGGCGUGCCUAAUACAUGCAAGUCGAGCGAACGGACGAGAAGCUUGCUUUUCUGAUGUUAGCGGCGGACGGGUGAGUAACACGUGGAUAACCUACCUAUAAGACUGGGAUAACUUCGGGAAACCGGAGCUAAUACCGGAUAAUAUUUUGAACCGCAUGGUUCAAAAGUGAAAGACGGUCUUGCUGUCACUUAUAGAUGGAUCCGCGCUGCAUUGGCUAGUUGGUAAGGUAACGGCUUACCAAGGCAACGAUGCAUAGCCGACCUGAGAGGGUGAUCGGCCACACUGGAACUGAGACACGGUCCAGACUCCUACGGGAGGCAGCAGUAGGGAAUCUUCCGCAAUGGGCGAAAGCCUGACGGAGCAACGCCGCGUGAGUGAUGAAGGUCUCCGGAUCGUAAAACUCUGUUAUUAGGGAAGAACAUAUGUGUAAGUAACUGUGCACAUCUUGACGGUACCUAAUCAGAAAGCCACGGCUAACUACGUG